AAAUAAUAACUGUAUUAUUAUUGCAUGCUAAAGUAAAAGUUAUGCUUGCAUCAGAGCAGUUGGAUUACAACAAAAGAAAAUCAAAUUAAAUCAUUAUUGUGUGCUAAAAUUAAUUCAUCAUUAUAGUAUAUUUCAUCAUACAGAAUAUUUUGUGCAUAUUUUGAAUUUCAAAUAUUUGAUGUAAUUAGUAUUUCUGGACUGUCUCUAUAGAUACUGUGGGUUCGACUUAUAGCCCAUUAAGAUGAUGACUUCAGCAGUGUUGCACAAGCACUGAUCAGAAAAUACCCCUGCCUCGCUGAGCCUGGACCACACAAAUGGUAUGGCUGGAUAAACAGCCUUAAAUUUAAGAUGGCCAAUUAUCGCACAAAGCUUCGAAAAGCUGGAUGUGAGGAUGUAGCAAUCCUGGUUGAAAAUGGUUGAAUGAUGGCCAGCACUCUUCACAGAGAGACAGGUGUUUGCUGAGUUUAAUAGGAUCGCCAGUAAGAAUCUUGAGGGAGACUUUUUUGAGGCUCAGGACCAGUACACGCCACGUUUCAUCGAACUCUUCAAAACAAAGAAGGGAACUGUUGGCCAGAAACUCAGGGAGCUGAUUCAGCACAUAAGCUGUAAGACACCAGACGUGACAGUACUUCACUCUGUUGUCCUCAAAGACAUUCCCAUUUUACUCUGUGAUGAAUCCAGUGAAUUCUAUAAGACCUGCUCUGAUACAACGAGAGACGAGGCCCUAGAAUGCAUCACUGUUGGUGUGCUGACAGUUGUCAGUGAACAUAGUCCUCAUGAGGGUCAAAGCUCAGUGGACCUCCAGCCCAUCUCCACUGCCAUCAUUCUGGAGGGAGGUAUUGUCAUGGAUCAUAUUAAAAACUUGCCUCAGGCAGUUUGUCUGUUGUUUGGGCUUACAUAUAUAUUGCAUUUGGAUUACCCAAAAUGCAUGGCAAAUACACUCAACUUCAUUCAGACUGUGAUGCUUGGACUGAGAAAGAAAAAAACUCCCAUUAAAACUGUUAACUCUGAAGAACAGUCUUCUGGGUUAGAACAGUAAAGAGCCGUCAGCUGUCAGAUAGCACAGCACUUUGUAAGCUUUGCAGCCAUUAAUGUUUGAUGCUUUCAUGCAACUGUUCACGCUAAUUUACGAUCUCAUUUUAAAAAAGAAAAGAAAAAUUCCAUGGAAGUCUGUACCAUGUUAUGCAGGUAUGCUAAUGGUGGAAAUAGAGCUGUUUGCAAAGUGUUGUUAGUUAUUAUUAGAUGAUAAUGUCAGAAAAUAACCUAGCAAGGUUGUCCUGUUUACAUUUGUGUUUUUGGAAAACUUUUAAUAGUUUUAAUGUAGUACAAAUACAAACCCCAAGGACUGAUUUUUUUUUUUCUUUGUGGUGGUUUAAUCUUUGGACUGUUCAAUUUGAGAAACAAAAGCAUUUGUUGUACUUACAGCUUUGAUCAGAAAUGCACUGAUUUUUCCAUGCACUGAAGUCCUGUAGUUAUCAGGUUUUUACCUGUUUAAUAUUGGGAGACUCUUAUUAGCUCACAGAAAUGUGGUUUUAUUUUUUAUUUUUUUCCUUUAUUUUCUACAGUUAAAUCAAACAACAACUUUGUUGUUUAACUGCUGUUUGUACUUGAAUGUGCAUUGAAUAAAUG